GACGUAGGGCGCAAGCGUUGUCCGGAUUUAUUGGGCGUAAAGAGCUCGUAGGCGGCUUGUCGCGUCGACUGUGAAAACCCGUGGCUCAACCAUGUGGUCUGCAGUCGAUACGGGCAGGCUAGAAUUCGGUAGGGGAGACUGGAAUUCCUGGUGCAGCGGUGAAAUGCGCAGAUAUCAGGAGGAACACCGGUGGCGAAGGCGGGUCUCUGGGCCGAUAUUGACGCUGAGGCGCGAAAGCUAGGGGAGCAAACGGG
rnacentral:rRNA from 1 species